UGUGCGCACUCGCUGCGCCAAGAGCAGCCAGCGGCCGUUCUCCGCCUCCCUGCACCCGCACCGUGGGGAGAAUUGCAAAGUUGCAAGGAGUCAACUGGUCAAUUCAAAGUAAAGGCAGGAUGGGCAGGUACUCACACUAAUAACGGCUGUGGGAUCAGACCUUAAGGCAAGAACAUGCUGAUGAACAACAAUGCUCUCAUCUUAAGACAGCCAGGGCCUGAGGUAAACCUCUUAAAAUCAUCAGCAAAGUGAACUGCAACCACAUGGAAAACACAACAGGUAACGUUACAUUUUGUAAGCACAAUAAAACUCAGCCAACAUGUACAGAAUGUAUUUCAUGUGGAGAAGCAUUUUGACUCCAGCAUUCUUAAUCCUACACCUUGUUUUGUUUCAGAUACAGUGUUAGGC